rnacentral:misc_RNA from 1 species
UGGCUCUCGCAUCGAUGAAGAACGCAGCGAAAUGCGAUAAGUAAUGUGAAUUGCAGAAUUCAGUGAAUCAUCGAAUCUUUGAACGCAUCUUGCGCCUCGUGGUAUUCCGCGGGGCAUGCCUGUUUGAGUGUCACGUUAACCCUCAUCCAUGUGGUGUCAAAGCCACAUGGGUGGACUUGGACGCUGCCGUAGUCGGCUCGUCUUGAAAUGCAUUAGCUGUGCGCCCAUUAGCGUGCUCGGUGCUGCCGUGAUAAUUUACUCGGCUCGCCUUAGGCCGCUUCCAGUGACGCUGCUUCCAAAGGUCCCUCACCGGACAAUUGAUGUAAAGCUUUGGCCUCAAAUCAGGUAGGACUACCCGCUGA